UGAGGAACAUGACCUUCGGCGGGGGAGUAGCCGGCCCAACGGCCGGGUAAUACCGCGUACGACCACAUGGGGACAUCCCUGAGUGGUGAAAGCAGCAAUGCGCCGAUGGAGUGCCCCGCGGCCUAUCAGCUAGUUGGUGAGGUAACGGCUCACCAAGGCGACGACGGGUAGCUGGUCUGAGAGGAUGGCCAGCCCACAGUUGGGACUGGAGACCACCGGCCCAGCUCCGAGG
rnacentral:rRNA from 1 species